rnacentral:rRNA from 1 species
UACGUAGGUGGCAAGCGUUGUUCGGAAUUAUUGGGCGUAAAGGGCGCGUAGGCGGCAUGUUAAGUCGGCUGUGAAAGCCCGGGGCUCAACCCCGGAGGGUCGGCCGAUACUGGCAAGCUAGAGUACAGAAGAGGUAGCUGGAAUUCCCGGUGUAGCGGUGAAAUGCGCAGAUAUCGGGAGGAACACCUAUGGCGAAGGCAGCUCGCUGGGACGUUACUGACGCUGAGACGCGAAAGCGUGGGGAGCGAACAGG